ACGGGUGAGUAACACGUAUCCAACCUGCCGUCUACUCUUGGCCAGCCUUCUGAAGGAAGAUUAAUCCAGGAUGGCAUCAUGAGUUCACAUGUCCGCAUGAUUAAAGGUAUUUUCCGGUAGACGAUGGGGAUGCGCUCCAUUAGAUAGUAGGCGGGGUAACGGCCCACCUAGUCAACGAUGGAUAGGGGUUCUGAGAGGAAGGUCCCCCACAUUGGAACUGAGACACGGUCCAA
rnacentral:rRNA from 1 species